rnacentral:lncRNA from 1 species
UCCCCCCAAGUUAAUUCUGAUUGGUAGACAAAGAUACCCAGCCAAUAACAGGGCAGAAGAGACAUAGGUGGGGGUUGGGGUUUCAUGGUCUUAGGGAGAGAGAACCACUAGGAGGAAAAGAGGAAGAAGAAGUCACCAUGGAGUAGAAGCAAAAUGUGUAGGAGAGGGAGAAAAGAGAGCCACCAUGGGUUAGCUGAGUCAUAAGUACGUGGCCAUGAGAGCUGCCUAAUGAAGUUAAGAACACUCCAGAUGGAACAUAGAAAAUGGGUGGAGACAUGAGCUGAAAAUUACGGGAGAGCCUACACUAUGUCUCAUAAAAAA